ACGGGUGAGUAAUGUCUGGGAAACUGCCUGAUGGAGGGGGAUAACUACUGGAAACGGUAGCUAAUACCGCAUGACGUCUUCGGACCAAAGUGGGGGACUUUCGGGCCUCACGCCAUCAGAUGUGCCCAGAUGGGAUUAGCUAGUAGGUGGGGUAAUGGCUCACCUAGGCGACGAUCUCUAGCUGGUCUGAGAGGAUGACCAGCCACACUGGAACUGAGACACGGUCCAGACUCCUACGGGAGGCAGCAGUGGGGAAUAUUGCACAAUGGGCGCAAGCCUGAUGCAGCCAUGCCGCGUGUAUGAAGAAGGCCUUCGGGUUGUAAAGUACUUUCAGCGAGGAGGAAGGCAUUGUGGUUAAUAACCACAGUGAUUGACGUUACUCGCAGAAGAAGCACCGGCUAACUCCGUGCCAGCAGCCGCGGUAAUACGGAGGGUGCAAGCGUUAAUCGGAAUUACUGGGCGUAAAGCGCACGCAGGCGGUUGAUUAAGUCAGAUGUGAAAUCCCCGAGCUUAACUUGGGAACUGCAUUUGAAACUGGUCAGCUAGAGUCUUGUAGAGGGGGGUAGAAUUCCAGGUGU
rnacentral:rRNA from 1 species